GCCUGUAUGGAGCAUUCUACAGCAAGGACAUUUUCUGCUCCUGUGGCUGAGACCUUUGAGUUCAGGUAUGCAUUCGAGCUUUGUGCUUCUGUCCUCUUUUCACGAGGGCUAUUAUCUGGAUUAAACAACCCGAUUGAGCCAGAAACACUGCAUGCAGAAUCCGUAAUUAAUGCAACAAGUGGACGAUCCAAGUUUGUCUUCAUUCUGAUUUCCUUUUGUCAUAUUGUGUUUGAUCUCCGAAAGAUCAUGAUCUGAUUUUUUUGCUAGAACCUCUGGUCCUCUCAUUUUUGUAUGACUGGUGAAGCAGUCUCAUUUCCUAUCCCUCUAUCAUCCUUUUUUUCGACUAAUAGAAGUUUUUCCUUUCUUUUUCUUCAGAAGGAAAACAACCUAAUCGAACCUUCGAGUUCAGAUGCCUGCUUCUGUCAGCAGCUACAGAACUUGUGGCAUCAGCAUUUUUCUGUUCCUCAUAGGAAUCUGCAACAUCAAUUCUUUGGACAUUUUGUAUGCUGCUGCAUGGUCCUAAAUGCAAUUGUUUGAUGCCAAUAUAAACAUACAACCCACACCUAAUUCAAAUGACCUACAUGGUAGAAUGUAAUGAGUCUGGAAAUGUUUUAUCUCUUGGCAAAACUAGCUUUUAUAUAACUAUUUAUGAGAAUUUUGUUGCUAUUAUCACCUUAUUCAAUCCUCAUAUAUGUUUCUAAGUAAGGACUCUGCAAGUUCUGAAGUUUAUGACAGCUUCUGCCUACUAGUAAGGGUCAAGUAUGUACGAGAAAUUCUCUGGACAACCUAAGAGGUAAAAAACUCCAUUAAGCUGUUUAUGAUCAGCCUCAUUGACAUGACUACAAAGCAUUAAUAUGUUACAGAUGAAUCUUGUAGUUCAAGACAAGAGCAAAUUCAUUAUAAAAUAACUAUUUUUCUGUUUUUAUAAUCACAAAAGAAAGUGCAUCUGGUAUGGUAUGAAUAUAUAGUUCCAUGCAUCAAAUAAAUCUCAUUGAAAUGGAGUUAUGCUCAUUAAAACAUGUAACAGUGAAUAGUAUGCAACAAUAUAUUAAUGUCAAUGCAGUAGUUUGUUCUGUGAUUGUUGUUCAAGAAUAUGUUUAUUCAAACUUGUCACCACAACACAUUCAUUUGUUACAAAUUUUCUGGUUACAGAUUCUGUGUAUGAAUGUUUGGUGUUGGGUUUUGUAUUCUUUGUGGUUGUCAUUGUAAAAAAAAAAGUACGAAGAUUGAUAAUGAAUAUAUUAACGAAC
rnacentral:lncRNA from 1 species